rnacentral:rRNA from 1 species
UACGAAGGGGGCUAGCGUUGCUCGGAAUUACUGGGCGUAAGGGCGCGUAGGCGGACAGUUUAGUCAGAGGUGAGAGCCCAGGGCUCAACCUUGGAAUUGCCUUUGAUACUGGCUGUCUUGAGUUCGGGAGAGGUGAGUGGAAUGCCGAGUGUAGAGGUGAAAUUCGUAGAUAUUCGGCGGAACACCAGUGGCGAAGGCGACUCACUGGCCCGAUACUGACGCUGAGGCGCGAAAGCGUGGGGAGCAAACAGG